CCCUUUAUCCUUCCCCCCUGCUCCCCUCCCCCUUUUUCUUACUUUCCUUCCUUUCUUCAGUCCUCACUCCUUCCCUCUUUCCCUUUCUUCCUUCCUUCCUGAUUCAUUCCCAUGUGUACUACAUCAAUAGCAGUUCAAAUCAGCACCCUCAAAUGAUUUGUCAUCCUGGAGUAGUAUUUUCUAGUGCAACCCACUGUGUGUGCAGACAUCCAUUUGGUCCAUACAUGUGGCUGCUGUGGAACCUGGGAGCCAGUGUAACAGACACCAACAAGCUGAUCUCAUGCUACUUCCUAUGAGCCAUGAGUCUCCUCUUCCGGAGAUUUGUGCCUUAUGCCAGUCUCCACGAAACUCUGUUGGACUAACUUGUGAGUAAGGAAAGGUUUGUAUAUUCAAGCUGAAGAGCAUAAAGAAGGACUGUUUAAGUGUGGAGAUUCCUCAAAAGACUAGGAAUAGACUUACCAUAUGACCCAGGAAUCCCACUCCUGGGCUUGUAUCCAGAAGGAAAUCUACUUCAGGAUGACACCUGCACCCCAACGUUCAUAGCAGCACUAUUUACAAUAGCCAAAACAUCGAAACAGCCUAAAUGUCCAUCAACAGGUGACUGGAUAAAGAAGAGGUGGUAUAUUUAUACAAUGGAAUACUACUCAGCCAUAAAAACCGACAACAUAAUGCCAUUUGCAGCAACAUGGAUGCUUCUGGAGAAUGUCAUUCUAAGUGAAGUAAGCCAGAAAGAGAAAGAAAAAUACCAUAUGAGAUCGCUCAUAUGUGGAAUCUAAAAAACAAAAGCAAACAAACAAACAAAAACAAAGCGUAAAUACAGGACAGAAAUAGACUCACAGACAGAGAAUACAGACUUGUGGCUACCAGGGGGGUGGAGGGUGGGAAGGGAUAGACUGGGAUUUCAAAAUUGUAGAAUAGAUAAACAAGAUUACACUGUAUAGCACAGGGAAAUAUACACAAAAUGUUAUGAUAACUCACAGAGAAAAAAA